rnacentral:rRNA from 1 species
CCUACGGGAGGCAGCAGUGGGGAAUAUUGGGCAAUGGGCGCAAGCCUGACCCAGCAACGCCGCGUGAAGGAAGAAGGCUUUCGGGGUGGAAACUUCUUUUCUCAGGGACGAAGAAAGUGACGGUAACUGAGGAAUAAGCCACGGCUAACUACGUGCCAGCAGCCGCGGUAAUACGUAGGUGGCAAGCGUUAUCCGGAUUUAUUGGGUGUAAAGGGCGGGUAGGCGGGAGCGCAAGUCAGAUGUGAAAACUCAGGGCUCAACCCUGAGCCUGCAUUUGACACUUUGUUUCUUGAGUGCUGGAGAGGCAAUCGGAAUUCCGUGUGUAGCGGUGAAAUGCGUAGAUAUCCGGCGGAACCCCAGUGGCGACGGCGGCUUGCUGGACAGUAACUGACGCUGAUGCGCGAAAGCGUGGGUAGCAAACAGGAUUAGAUACCCUAGUAGUC